GACGAACGCUGGCGGCGUGCCUAAUACAUGCAAGUCGAACGCAGUGGGGACGGGUGAGUAACACGUGGGUAACCUCCCAUCAGAGGGGAUAACACUUGGAAAAAGGUGCUAAACCGAUAGUGAUGGCUGGACCCGCGGGGCAGUAGCCAGUUGGUGAGGUAACGGCUCACCAAGGCCACGAUCCAUAGCCGACCUGGGAGGAGGAGCGGCCACACUGGGACUGAGACACGGCCCAGACUCCUACGGGAGGCAGCAGUGGGGAAUCUUCGGCAAUGGGCGAAAGUCUGACCCAGCAACGCCGCGUGAGUGAAGAAGGUUUUCGGGUCGUAAAGCUCUGUUUGUGGGGAAGCGGUAUUUAACCAGGAAGCAACGGCUAACUACGUGCCAGCAGCCGCGGUAAUUC
rnacentral:rRNA from 1 species